UGGGGAAUAUUGAACAAUGGGGGGAACCCUGAUCCAGCCAUGCCGCGUGUGUGAAGAAGGCCUUAUGGUUGUAAAGCACUUUAAGCGAGGAGGAGGGUACUGGUAUUAAUACUACCAGGUACUGGACGUUACUCGCAGAAUAAGCACAGGCUAACUCUGUGCCAGCAGCCGCGGUAAUACAGAGGGUGCGAGCGUUAAUCGGAUUUACUGGGCGUAAAGCGUGCGUAGGCGGCUAAUUGAGUCGGAUGUGAAAUCCCCGGGCUUAACUUGGGAAUUGCAUUCGAUACUGGUUAGCUAGAGUGUGGGAGAGGAUGGUAGAGUUCCAGGUGUAGCGGUGAAAUGCGUAGAGAUCUGGAGGAAUACCGAUGGCGAAGGCAGCCAGCUGGCCUAACACUGACGCUGAGGUACGAAAGCAUGGGGAGCAAACAGG
rnacentral:rRNA from 1 species